rnacentral:tRNA from 1 species
GGAUCUUUAGCUCAGUUGGUCAGAGCAACCGGCUCAUAACCGGUCGGUCCUGGGUUCGAGUCCCAGAAGGUCCA